rnacentral:rRNA from 1 species
GACGAACGCUGGCGGCGUGCUUAACACAUGCAAGUCGAACGGAAAGGCCCUGCUUUUGUGGGGUGCUCGAGUGGCGAACGGGUGAGUAACACGUGAGUAACCUGCCCUUGACUUUGGGAUAACUUCAGGAAACUGGGGCUAAUACCGGAGAGGAGCUCCUGCUGCAUGGUGGGGGUUGGAAAGUUUCGGCGGUUGGGGCUGGUUUCGCGGCUUAUCAGCUUGUUGGUGGGGUAGUGGCUUACCAAGGCUUUGACGGGUAGCCGGCCUGAGAGGGUGACCGGCCACAUUGGGACUGAGAUACGGCCCAGACUCCUACGGGAGGCAGCAGUGGGGAAUAUUGCACAAUGGGCGGAAGCCUGAUGCAGCAACGCCGCGUGCGGGAUGACGGCCUUCGGGUUGUAAACCGCUUUCGCCUGUGACGAAGCGUGAGUGACGGUAAUGGGUAAAGAAGCACCGGCUAACUACGUG